rnacentral:rRNA from 1 species
AGAGUUUGAUCAUGGCUCAGAAUCAACGCUGGCGGCGUGCCUCAGACAUGCAAGUCGAACGGUUAAGACUUCCUUCGGGAAGUGCAUAAAAGUGGCGCACGGGUGAGUAACACGUAAAGUAAUCUACCUUCGAGUGGGGAAUAACGUCCGGAAACGGACGCUAAUACCGCAUAAUGCAGCGGCAUCGUAAGAUGACAGUUGUUAAAGGAGCAAUUCGCUUGAAGAGGAGCUUGCGGCAGAUUAGCUAGUUGGUAAGGUAAUGGCUUACCAAGGCUACGAUCUGUAACCGGUCUAAGAGGACGGUCGGUCACACUGACACUGAAUAACGGGUCAGACUCCUACGGGAGGCAGCAGUCGGGAAUUUUGGGCAAUGGGCGAAAGCCUGACCCAGCAACGCCGCGUGAAGGAUGAAGUAUUUCGGUAUGUAAACUUCGAAAGAAUAGGAAGAAUUAAUGACGGUACUAUUUAUAAGGUCCGGCUAACUACGUGCCAGCAGCCGCGGUAAUACGUAGGGACCAAGCGUUGUUCGGAUUUACUGGGCGUAAAGGGCGCGUAGGCGGCAUGACAAGUCACUUGUGAAAUCUCCGGGCUUAACUCGGAACGGUCAAGUGAUACUGUCGCGCUAGAGUGCGGAAGGGGCAAUCAGAAUUCUUGGUGUAGCGGUGAAAUGCGUAGAUAUCAAGAGGAAUACCUGAGGUGAAGACGGGUUGCUAGGCCGACACUGAGCUGAAGCGCGAAAGCCAGGGGAGCAAACGGGAUUAGAUACCCCAGUAGUCC